rnacentral:misc_RNA from 1 species
GAUGAAGAACGUAGCGAAAUGCGAUAAUUAAUGUGAAUUGCAGAAUUCCGUGAAUCAUCGAAUCUUUGAACGCACAUUGCGCCCGCCAGUAUUCUGGCGGGCAUGCCUGUCCGAGCGUCAUUUCAACCCUCGAACCCCUCCGGGGGGUCGGCGUUGGGGAUCGGCACUUACCUGCCGGCCCCGAAAUACAGUGGCGGUCUCGCCGCAGCCUCUCCUGCGCAGUAGUUUGCACACUCGCACCGGGAGCGCGGCGCGUCCACGGCCGUAAAACAACCCAAACUUCUGAAAUGUUGACCUCGGAUCAGGUAGGAAUACCCGCUGAACUUAAGCAUAUCAAUAAGCGGAGGA